UGAAUUGACGGGGAGCACCACAACGGGUGGAGCUUGCGGUUUAAUUGGAUUCAACGCCGGAAAUCUUACCGGGACCGACAGCAAUAUGAAGGCCAGGCUGAAGACUUUGCCGGAUUAGCUGAGAGGUGGUGCAUGGCCGUCGUCAGUUCGUACUGUGAAGCAUCCUGUUAAGUCAGGCAACGAGCGAGACCCACGCCCACAGUUGCCAGCGUACUCUCCGGAGUGACGGGUACACUGUGGGGACCGCCGCUGCUAAAGCGGAGGAAGGAAUGGGCAACGGUAGGUCAGUAUGCCCCGAAUAUCCCGGGCUACACGCGAGCUACAAUGGUUGGUACAAUGGGUAUCUACCCCGAAAGGGGACGGGAGUCUCCUAAAACCAAUCUUAGUUCGGAUUGAGGGCUGCAACUCGCCCUCAUGAAGCUGGAAUCCGUAGUAAUCGCGUUUCAACAGAACGCGGUGAAUACGUCCCUGCUCCUU
rnacentral:rRNA from 1 species